AUUGAACGCUGGCGGCAUGCCUUACACAUGCAAGUCGAACGGCAGCACGGGAGCAAUCCUGGUGGCGAGUGGCGAACGGGUGAGUAAUACAUCGGAACGUGCCCAAUCGUGGGGGAUAACGUAGCGAAAGCUACGCUAAUACCGCAUACGAUCUACGGAUGAAAGCGGGGGAUCGCAAGACCUCGCGCGAAUGGAGCGGCCGAUGGCAGAUUAGGUAGUUGGUGAGGUAAAGGCUCACCAAGCCUGCGAUCUGUAGCUGGUCUGAGAGGACGACCAGCCACACUGGGACUGGGACACGGCCCAGACUCCUACGGGAGGCAGCAGUGGGGAAUUUUGGACAAUGGGCGCAAGCCUGAUCCAGCAAUGCCGCGUGCAGGAUGAAGGCCUUCGGGUUGUAAACUGCUUUUGUACGGAACGAAACGGUCCUUUCUAAUACAAGGGGCUAAUGACGGUACCGUAAGAAUAAGCACCGGCUAACUACGUGCCAGCAGCCGCGGUAA
rnacentral:rRNA from 1 species